rnacentral:rRNA from 1 species
CACGUAGGCACCAAGCGUUGUCCGGAUUUAUUGGGCGUAAAGAGCUCGUAGGCGGUUCGGUAAGUCGGGUGUGAAAACUUUGGGCUCAACCCAAAGCCUGCACCCGAUACUGCUGUGACUUGAGUCCGGUAGGGGAGUGGGGAAUUCCUGGUGUAGCGGUGGAAUGCGCAGAUAUCAGGAAGAACACCCGUGGCUAAGGCGGCUCUCUAGUCGACGGUCACGUGACGCUGAGACGCGAAAGCGUGGGGAGCGAACAGG